rnacentral:rRNA from 1 species
UAUCGGUGAUGGAUGGGGAUGCGUCUGAUUAGCUUGUUGGCGGGGUAACGGCCCACCAAGGCUACGAUCAGUAGGGGUUCUGAGAGGAAGGUCCCCCACAUUGGAACUGAGACACGGUCCAAACUCCUACGGGAGGCAGCAGUGAGGAAUAUUGGUCAAUGGACGAGAGUCUGAACCAGCCAAGUAGCGUGCAGGAUGACGGCCCUAUGGGUUGUAAACUGCUUUUAUAAGGGAAUAAAGUGAGUCUCGUGAGGCUUUUUGCAUGUACCUUAUGAAUAAGGACCGGCUAAUUCCGUGCCAGCAGCCGCGGUAAUACGGAAGGUCCGGGCGUUAUCCGGAUUUAUUGGGUUUAAAGGGAGCGUAGGCCGGAGAUUAAGCGUGUUGUGAAAUGUAGACGCUCAACGUCUGCACUGCAGCGCGAACUGGUUUCCUUGAGUACGCACAAAGUGGGCGGAAUUCGUGGUGUAGCGGUGAAAUGCUUAGAUAUCACGAAGAACUCCGAUUGCGAAGGCAGCUCACUGGAGCGCAACUGACGCUGAAGCUCGAAAGUGCGGGUAUCGAACAGGAUUAGAUACCCUGGUAGUCCGCACGGUAAACGAUGGAUGCCCGCUGUUGGUCUGAAUAGGUCAGCGGCCAAGCGAAAGCAUUAAGCAUCCCACCUGGGGAGUACGCCGGCAACGGUGCAA